rnacentral:RNase_P_RNA from 1 species
GCAGUCAAUCGGUCUGUCGCUUUAGAAAUAAAGAGGAAAGUCCGGACAACAAAGAGCGUCCUACUAUCUAACGGAUAGCUGUUCGUGAGGGCAGAGUGAAGUAGAAGAAAAUAACCGCCUUAUUCCAUUAAGGUAAGGGUGAGAAGGUGAGGUAAGAGCUUACCGGUUCCCUUAGCGAUAGGGGAAGCCGUACUCCUUAGGAGUUGUAAGAUCAUGUAUACCGGCGCAUGUAGAAUGGCUCGUUCGAUGCCGGGGGGUAGAUCGCAUGAAUUGAAUGGCAACAUUCAAUCCAGAUAAAUGACAGGCUCCUGAUUUUCAGGAACAGAAUCCGGCUUACAGAUUGACUGCUUUU